rnacentral:rRNA from 2 species
GACGAACGCUGGCGGCGUGCCUAAUACAUGCAAGUCGAGCGGAGUUUCAAGAAGCUUGCUUUUUGAAACUUAGCGGCGGACGGGUGAGUAACACGUGGGCAACCUGCCCCUUAGACUGGGAUAACUCCGGGAAACCGGAGCUAAUACCGGAUAAUCCCUUUCUCCACCUGGAGAGAGGGUGAAAGAUGGCUUCGGCUAUCACUAGGGGAUGGGCCCGCGGCGCAUUAGCUAGUUGGUAAGGUAACGGCUUACCAAGGCGACGAUGCGUAGCCGACCUGAGAGGGUGAUCGGCCACACUGGGACUGAGACACGGCCCAGACUCCUACGGGAGGCAGCAGUAGGGAAUCUUCCGCAAUGGACGAAAGUCUGACGGAGCAACGCCGCGUGAGUGAGGAAGGCCUUCGGGUCGUAAAGCUCUGUUGUGAGGGAAGAAGCGGUACCGUUCGAAUAGGGCGGUACCUUGACGGU